rnacentral:rRNA from 1 species
CGUAGGGACCGAGCGUUGUCCGGAUUCAUUGGGCGUAAAGAGCUCGUAGGCGGCUGCUCAAGUCGAAUGUGAAACCUCGAGGCUUAACCUCGAGCCUGCAUUCGAUACUGGGCGGCUAGAGUCUGGUAGGGGGAUCUGGAAUUCCUGGUGUAGCGGUGGAAUGCGCAGAUAUCAGGAGGAACACCGGUGGCGAAGGCGGGAUCCUGGGCCAGUACUGACGCUGAGGAGCGAAAGCGUGGGGAGCAAACAGGAUUAGAUACCCUGGUAGUCCACGCCGUAAACGAUGGGCGCUAGGUGUGGGAGGUCAUUGACUCCUUCCGUGCCGCAGCUAACGCAUUAAGCGCCCCGCCUGGGGAGUACGGCCGCAAGGCUA